rnacentral:rRNA from 1 species
UUAAAUUGAAGAGUUUGAUCAUGGCUCAGAUUGAACGCUGGCGGCAGGCCUAACACAUGCAAGUCGAACGGUAACAGGAAGCAGCUUGCUGCUUCGCUGACGAGUGGCGGACGGGUGAGUAAUGUCUGGGAAACUGCCUGAUGGAGGGGGAUAACUACUGGAAACGGUGGCUAAUACCGCAUAACGUCG